rnacentral:rRNA from 1 species
AUUGGGCCUAAAGCGUCCGUAGCCGGCCGAGCGGGUCCGUCGGGAAAUCCGCGUGCUCAACGCGCGGGCGUCCGGCGGAAACCACUCGGCUUGGGGCCGGAGGACUCGAGGGGUACGUCCGGGGUAGGAGUGAAAUCCCGUAAUCCUGGACGGACCGCCGAUGGCGAAAGCACCUCGAGAGGACGGACCCGACGGUGAGGGACGAAAGCCAGGGUCUCGAACCGGAUUAGAUACCCGGGUAGUCCUGGCCGUAAACGAUGUUCGCUAGGUGUGGCGUCGACUACGAGUCGGCGCUGUGCCGCAGGGAAGCCGCUAAGCGAACCGCCUGGGAAGUACGUCCGCAAGGAUGAAACUUAAAGGAAUUGGCGGGGGAGCACUACAACCGGAGGAGCCUGCGGUUUAAUUGGACUCAACGCCGGAAAUCUUACCAGCUCCGACAGUAGCGAUGACGCUCAGUGUGAUGAGCUUGGUUGAGCUACUGAGAGGAGGUGCAUGGCCGCCGUCAGCUCGUACCGUGAGGCGUCCUGUUAAGUCAGGCAACGAGCGAGACCCGCACUCUUAAUUGCCAGCGACACCGCGAGGUGGUCGGGUACAUUAGGAGGACUGCCGUCGCCAAGACGGAGGAAGGAACGGGCAACGGUAGGUCAGUAUGCCCCGAAUGAGCUGGGCUACACGCGGGCUACAAUGGUCGAGACAAUGGGUUCCAACCUCGAGAGAGGACGGUAAUCUCCUAAACUCGGUCGUAGCUCGGAUUGAGGGUUGAACUCACCCUCAUGAAGC